rnacentral:rRNA from 1 species
GACGAACGCUGGCGGCGUGCUUAACACAUGCAAGUCGAACGAAGAGCGACGGAAGCUUGCUUCUAUCAAUCUUAGUGGCGAACGGGUGAGUAACGCGUAAUCAACCUGCCCUUCAGAGGGGGACAACAGUUGGAAACGACUGCUAAUACCGCAUACGAUCUAAUCUCGGCAUCGAGGAUGGAUGAAAGGUGGCCUCUACAUGUAAGCUAUCACUGAAGGUGGGGAUUGCGUCUGAUUAGCUAGUUGGAGGGGUAACGGCCCACCAAGGCGAUGAUCAGUAGCCGGUCUGAGAGGAUGAACGGCCACAUUGGGACUGAGACACGGCCCAGACUCCUACGGGAGGCAGCAGUGGGGAAUCUUCCGCAAUGGACGAAAGUCUGACGGAGCAACGCCGCGUGAGUGAUGACGGCCUUCGGGUUGUAAAGCUCUGUUAAUCGGGACGAAAGGCCUUCUUGCGAAUAGUGAGAAGGAUUGACGGUACCGGAAGAGAAAGCCACGGCUAACUACGUG